AAGUCAUUUUCAUAUAGUUUGAAAUUUCAGCAAUAUAUUAUCACAGAUUUGCUUCCAUAUGAAUAAUGUUGAUUGCUCUUUUGCUUUAUUAGUAAUUUCAUCUAUUAAGUACAGAAAUAAAAAACAAUGUCUCUUUUUCUUUUGUUUCAGUGGGCAAGAAGAUUCUGAUGCUAUCCCAACCAGUAAGAUAUUAAAAGAAAGGUGUCUGGAGCAAAAACCAGAUAAUUCAACAGGUCUUCAGGUAAAUAUUUUUAACAGAUCCCAACUGUUGUAUUUUGAGAUCCAACUGAGAAUAGCCCAGUUUUCACAGUCUGAUCAGAGACUGGGUUAUACAAUUUGAGGAACAUCAGGAAACAUUCUUUACAGCUCCUUCAAAUCUAUGACUGGGAACUAUCCCUGGUUUCUGAAGAUCCUUCAGUGAAAAUU
rnacentral:lncRNA from 1 species